ACAUGGUGUUUUUUUUUCUUUUAUGUAUUUAUAGAAAUCCAUUUCUCUUAAUUGGAUUGAUUCUUGCUGGUAUUGAUUAUGAUUAGGGCGAUCCCACAUCGCCACAAUGGCCAUGGCCAACAACCAACAGAAGCACCACUUCCACCUUCUAUUCCACUAAGUUAGCAUCUUGAUUAUCCUUUGGGACACCACACGAAUUAUCGUUUUUAAUGUUCUUUUAACCACAACAUAUGGGACCGUAUCUCUUAUCUCCUAUUCUUUAUUCAACUACUUUAUUUUCCUUCUUAUUAUUUGGGCAAGUGGUACCAAACCCUUGAAUUAUAAAACCUAGAUAAACUCUCAAACUUGUUCUUACUACAUGGAGUAUGUUUUAGUUGCAUUCAUGGUGGUUUAUCAAAUUUAACUUUCAUGCUUCAAGAAUAUUACGGUUCUUUAGGAAGCAAAGAAAGCGAUAUUGGUGAGGUUCAAUCCGAAGACGGAUUUACAUAUUGAAGUUGUAAAAUACGAUCUCAGAUUGAGCCGCGCCAAUAUCACUUUGUAUUGAAAAUCCUUUUGUUUUUCCUUCUCCAUAAACUCAUAUUCUCUUCUAAUUGUUCAUUAUGUGAUUCUCAUUGUUGAAUUAUGUUGAUUGAUUAUUUUGUGUGAUACGUUUAAGAACCCUAUUUCAUUUGACAAAUAUUUGUUUACUCUCCUCUGUCUCACAGCUGAAAGUCGUGUUGCUGAUAUUCUAGUUUCUAUCCCAAGCAGUCUCCAAGAGAUGUCAGUAUUGGACGAAAAUAUACAAGAAGAUUUUUAUUCAUGAUUUAGAAAGAGCUGGAUCAAAUUAUUCGCAGGCUUUUAUUCAAUGUCCUUGUGAUAGCUUGAAAGAGACUUAAUUUUACUGAUACCGCUGGUAUACUUGUAGAAAAAUAUUCUUCAUUUUAGCUACCUAAUAUAAGACUAAGAGUAUCUUUUCACCAGUAAUAUAACUGGCAUAUUUUUA